rnacentral:lncRNA from 1 species
AUUGACGCAAAUGUAAAGUGAUGUGCUGUGUACCUAAAAUCAAACAAAAUGUGGGAAGAAGAAAAAAGUCGAUGAUUAACAGGAAUAGGGAAGAUCCGUAACCUAAGCGUGUAAACAUGCGAAAUGAUCAAUUAGAAAGCAACAGACAUGACGACAAAAGCCAUUUACGUUGAAAUGCCACUAUACUUGUACAGUAUGUACCAUAUAUUUAUGCCACAGGAUACUUACAAUAAAAAACUAACCCUAUAAUUUACGCAAAGCUAGUCAGUGUUUUAAUGUUCUAUGCUUGACAUUGUGCUUACAGAUUUGAAUCUAAUUACUUUCAAAAUACGUAAUUGCUAAUUGGUAGUGCUUUGAUUUUAAAAUGUAAUCGAGGCUUUAAAGGCUAAAGAACAUUAUGUAGGGGCUUUGGGCUUAUAGCUGUUUUGCUAAGGGUUUGCCUAUAUCUGACUGUAAGCCCUACAAAUGAAAAUUUAUAGAAGAUUUUGAGGUAAAUAAUUGAUAUUGCAGACCAGUGUUAAUCAUGUCCAAUCAUUUAAGUAAACAUUAAACUAAUUCAAUAAUACUGUUAAUUCAUUCAUAGUAACUAUUUUCAGUUCCAGUAAGUUAAAAAGAAUUUGAAGAUGCAUUACAUAUUGAUGAAAUUAUAAAUUUGUUCACUUCUAUCAAAAAUGUGGGUAGUUUCAACAUUCUUUACUUUGUAGCAUUCUCUACUAUUGUGAAACAAGAAUAUUGACAUGUCAGUGUUUUUGUAGCAGUCCUGUUUCACUCUAAAAGGUACCAGUACUUAAAGUCUUGAAGAAAUCAUGAAAUUACCCUUUUUUCAUUGGUAACAAUAACAGAAAAUAGUACUUAGUACAUUAAGCAAUUAGUGCUGUUAGUCUUUUCUUAUAAAUAUUUAUUAUGGAUAUAGGGCCUGCAGUUAACUCUGAAUGUGGGAAUGAUUGUAUGGUGAAAACUAAGACUAUGGGUAAUAUGGACACGAAUAAGUUGAUCAAAAGGUGGGAUUGUUAAAUUUUAUUAAUGAACUGUUUUUGCAGUCAAAUAAUUGGACUGAUUCUCAGCUCUUUGUAGUAUUUUGUCUUUUAUUGUAUGUUAUUAAUUUAAUAGUGUAUUUAAUCUGUUUUUGUUGCACUUUUCAGCACAAUUUGGGUUGCAAAUGAGAUGAGAUCACUAUGAAAUUUAUUUUGCUUAGGCUAAGGCUUUAGGAGGCUAAAUUAAUUAUAUUUGAAUACUCUGUCAUUAUGAAAACAUUGGUUUCUCUUUCACUCUGCAAAGUAGUAAUACCUGCAGUCCUGAAGAAAGCAUGAAGCUGCCUUUAUUGCAUUGACAAUAAAAAUAAUGUGGUAUUGUUAAAAGAAUGGUUUAUGAUAUGAAUUGAUUGGCUAACAAAUAAAAAAGAUUGGGAAGUUAAUUUUAACCCUACCGAUGACAACAUGGGUUGUCUGACCUAGUAUGCUUUCUACACAUGUAAAUCAUGGAACGUUACAUUCUACAGUUAUUCAGUUGUCCACAGCAUAAAUUAAAUUGACAAAAUAAGUUGUCUCCUUUCUAUGGCGUUUUAUCUGUUCCAUCUUGAAGGCUGUUAUAUUUAACUGAUUAAGAAUUUAUUCUACAAGAACAUUAGAAGAACUCAAGAUACCAUUAACUUAUGGAGCACUGGUUGUAUUAGUCCUCAUUUGCUAUAGAAAAUAGAUGUACUUGUGGUCUUAAGGAAAGCAUGAAAGUGCCUUUUUUCCAUUGGGAGAGGAGACAGUGUGCUAAAGAAAGGAUUUAUGACAAUGAACUGGUAUGUAACAGUAUCAAUUAAAAAUAGUAAAUGAGGUUCCAGAAACUUCAAUUUCUUAAGACAUUUAUAACUUGCUUCAAUAAACAACUUUUGAACAAAACAGUAGGAUUAAUGUGGGAC